GUGGGGAAUCUUCCGCAAUGGACGAAAGUCUGACGGAGCAACACCGCGUGAGUGAAGAAGGGUUUCGGCUCGUAAAGCUCUGUUGUUAAAGAAGAACACGUAUGAGAGUAACUGUUCAUACGUUGACGGUAUUUAACCAGAAAGUCACGGCUAACUACGUGCCAGCAGCCGCGGUAAUACGUAGGUGGCAAGCGUUAUCCGGAUUUAUUGGGCGUAAAGAGAGUGCAGGCGGUUUUCUAAGUCUGAUGUGAAAGCCUUCGGCUUAACCGGAGAAGUGCAUCGGAAAGUGGAUAACUUGAGUGCAGAAGAGGGUAGUGGAACUCCAUGUGUAGCGGUGGAAUGCGUAGAUAUAUGGAAGAACACCAGUGGCGAAGGCGGCUACCUGGUCUGCAACUGACGCUGAGACUCGAAAGCAUGGGUAGCGAACAGGAUUAGAAACCCUUGUAGUCC
rnacentral:rRNA from 1 species